AUCAACGCUGGGCGGUCGUGCCUAACACAUGCAAGUCGAACGAGAAAGUGGAGCAAUCCAUGAGUUAAAGUGGCGACCGGGUGAGUAACACGUGACUAACCUACCUUCGAGUGGGGGAUAACCUCGGGGAAACCGGGGCUAAUACCGCAUAAUAAUGCCUUUGGGUUUAAAGGGAGCAAUUCGCUUGAAGAGGGGGGGGUCGCGGGCCGAUUAGGUAGUUGGCGGGUGGGUAACGGCCACCAAGCCUGUGAUCGGUAGCCGGGCCUGAGAGGGCGCCACGGCCACACUGGAACUGAAACACGGUCCAGACUCCUACGGGAGGCAGCAGUGGGGAAUUUUGCGCAAUGGGGGAAACCCUGACGCAGCAACGCCGCGUGGAGGAUGAAGUCCUUUUGGGACGUAAAACUCCUUUCGACCGGGACGAUUAUGACGGUACCGGUGGAAGAAGCCCCGGCAUAACUUCGUGCCAGCAGCCGCGGUAAUACGAGGGGGGGCAGCGUUGUUCGGAAUUAUUGGGCGGUAAAGGGCGCGUAGGCGGUGCGGUAAGUCACCUGUGAAACCUCUGGGCUUAACUCAGAGCCUGCAGGCGAAAACUGCCGUGCUAGAGUGUGGGAGAGGUGCGUGGAAUUUCCCGGUGUAGGGGUGAAAUGCGUAGAUAUCGGGAGGAACACCUGUGGCGAAAGCGGCGCACUGGACCACAACUGACGCUGAGGGCGCGAAAGCUAGGGGAGCAAACAGGAUUUAGAUACCCUGGUAGUCCUAGCCCUAAAACGAUGAUUGCUUGGUGUGUCGGGUACCCAAUCCCGACGUGUCGAAGCUAAACGCGAUAAGCAAUCCGCCUGGGGGAGUACGGUCGCAAGGCUGAAACUCAAAAGGAAUUGACGGGGGCCGCCCACAAGCGGUGGAGCAUGUGGUUCAAUUUCGACGCAACGCGAAGAACCUUACCUGGGCUCGAAGCGCAGUGGACCGGGGUAGAAAUAUCCCUUUCCGCAAGGACUGCUGCGGAGGUGCUGCAUGGCUGUCGUCAGCCUCGUGUCGUGAGAUGUUGGGUUAAGUCCCGCAACGAUGCGGCAACCCUUAUCCCCUAGUUGCCAUCGGGUCAAGCCGGGCACUCUAGUGAAAACCGCCCCCGGAUAACGGGGAGGGAAGGUGGGGAUGACGUCAGGUCCUCAUGGCCUUUAUGUCCAGGGCUACACACGUGCUACAAUGGUCGGUACAAACCGUCGCAAACCCGCGAGGGGAGCUAAUCGGAAAAAAGCCGGCCCUCAGUUUCGGAUUGGAGUUCUGCAACUCGACUCCAUGAAGCUGGAAAUCGCUAGUAAUCGCCAGAUCAGCACGCUGCGGUGAAUACGUUCCCGGGCCUUGUACACACCGCCCGUCACAUCACGAAAGUGGGCCGUACUAGAAGUCGGUAAGCUAACCGCAAGGAGGCAGCCGCCCCAAGGUACAGCUCAUGAUUGGGGUG
rnacentral:rRNA from 1 species